GACGAACGCUGGCGGCGUGCUUAACACAUGCAAGUCGAACGGGCCUUGUCCCCUUUUUUUUUGGGGGUGGGGUUAGUGGCGAACGGGUGAGUAACACGUGAGUAACCUGCCCCUCACUUCUGGAUAACCGCUUGAAAGGGUGGCUAAUACGGGGUGUUCUGGCCUGCUCGCAUGGGUGGGUUUGGAAAGAUUCGACCGGUUUUGGUUGUUUUGGUGGGGGAUGGGCUCGCGGCCUAUCAGCUUGUUGGUGGGGUGAUGGCCUGCCAAGGCUUUGACGGGUAGCCGGCCUGAGAGGGUGGGCGGUCACACUGGGACUGAGACACGGCCCAGACUCCUACGGGAGGCAGCAGUGGGGAAUAGUGCACAAUGGGCGCAAGCCUGAUGCAGCGACGCCGCGUGAGGGAUGGAGGCCUUCGGGUUGUGAACCUCUUUCGCCAGUGAAGAAGGUCCUGCUCUUUGUGGUGGGGUUGACGGUAGCGGGGUUAAUGAAGCGCCGGCUAACUACGUG
rnacentral:rRNA from 1 species